GUCCAUAGUUACCAAAUUCGCUCACCCCCUAGGUACCAUGAUCUGAGUUGCAUGUCCCAAUUCGCGGGACAAUUGCAUUUCAAAUCAGUAGGGGCCAAAAUAGGGGUUCCAGCAAAAAAGGAAAAGAAGGAAGAAAGGAGAAGGAGAAGAAGAAAGUUAAACAGAAAUGAAGUAAGAAGCAGCCAUGUGUAGGAGAAGAAGAAGAACCAGCAGCCAGGCAGCAAAGAAGAAGAAGGAAUGACGCUUGGAUGGAGAAAUAUGAAAUGGGGCUCCUUUUUCUAUGUUAGUGGGGUUAGGUGGGAGUGCAAGUGGAACCUUGUCUUGGGAGAGUAAUAUACAACAAAUAUUGUUAGACUAAGAGGAUGUUUGUCUUAGUAAACCCG
rnacentral:misc_RNA from 1 species